rnacentral:rRNA from 1 species
GAUGAACGCUGGCGGCGUGCCUAAUACAUGCAAGUCGAGCGAACGGACGAGAAGCUUGCUUUUCUGAUGUUAGCAGCGGACGGGUGAGUAACACGUGGAUAACCUACCUAUAAGACUGGGAUAACUUCGGGAAACCGGAGCUAAUACCGGAUAAUAUUUUGAACCGCAUGGUUCAAAAGUGAAAGACGGUCUUGCUGUCACUUAUAGAUGGAUCCGCGCUGCAUUAGCUAGUUGGUAAGGUAACGGCUUACCAAGGCAACGAUGCAUAGCCGACCUGAGAGGGUGAUCGGCCACACUGGAACUGAGACACGGUCCAGACUCCUACGGGAGGCAGCAGUAGGGAAUCUUCCGCAAUGGGCGAAAGCCUGACGGAGCAACGCCGCGUGAGUGAUGAAGGUCUUCGGAUCGUAAAACUCUGUUAUUAGGGAAGAACAUAUGUGUAAGUAACUGUGCACAUCUUGACGGUACCUAAUCAGAAAGCCACGGCUAACUACGU